AUUGUUACUUUGAAGAUCAAGGACGCUUUUUACAUUACGUUUAUCGCGAGGCGUGGUCGUUAGACAUCCAUAUAUAAACGCUGCCUGCUGAUCCAUCAGUAUCACUUGACAAGUACGCAAGUAAACCUUUAACAAUGUUCUACAAACUGUUCGCUCUCUUCGCUAUGCUGGCGGUUGCCUUCGCCAACCCAAACCC